GACGUAGGGGGCCAGCGUUGUUCGGAAUUACUGGGUGUAAAGGGUUCGUAGGCGGUGUGGCAAGUCGGGAGUGAAAUCUCUGGGCUCAACCCAGAGACUGCUUCCGAAACUGCUGUGCUUGAGUGUGGGAGAGGCGCGUGGAAUUGCAGGUGUAGCGGUGAAAUGCGUAGAUAUCUGCAGGAACACCCGUGGCGAAAGCGGCGCGCUGGACCACUACUGACGCUGAGGAACGAAAGCUAGGGGAGCAAACAGG
rnacentral:rRNA from 1 species